UACGGGGGGAGCAAGCGUUGUUCGGAUUUACUGGGCGUAAAGGGCGCGUAGGCGGUCAGCACAAGUCAGUUGUGAAAUCUCCGAGCUUAACUCGGAAAGGUCAACUGAUACUGUGCGACUGGAGUGCGGAAGGGGCAACUGGAAUUCUUGGUGUAGCGGUGAAAUGCGUAGAUAUCAAGAGGAACACCUGCGGCGAAGGCGGGUUGCUGGGCCGACACUGACGCUGAGGCGCGAAAGCCAGGGGAGCAAACGGG
rnacentral:rRNA from 1 species